AGAGUUUGAUCCUGGCUCAGGACGAACGCUGGCGGCGUGCUUAACACAUGCAAGUCGAACGAGGACCAGGUGCUUGCACCUGAGAUCCGAGUGGCGGACGGGUGAGUAACACGUGACCAACCUAUCUCUGGGAGGGGGACAACCCGGGGAAACCUGGGCUAAUACCGCAUAUCGUCCAGUUGUCGCAUGGCUUCUGGAUAAAAGAGGGCCUCUGCUUGCAUGCUCUCACCCGGAGAGGGGGUCGCGACGUAUCAGCUUGUUGGUGAGGUAACGGCUCACCAAGGCUACGACGCGUAGCGGGUCUGAGAGGACGACCCGCCACAUUGGGACUGAGAUACGGCCCAGACUCCUACGGGAGGCAGCAGUGGGGAAUAUUGCGCAAUGGCCGAAAGGUUGACGCAGCGACGCCGCGUGUGGGAGGAAGCCCUUCGGGGUGUAAACCACUGUCAGGGGGGAAGAACACUCAGAGUACGAAUACUACUCUGAACUGACGGUACCCCCAGAGGAAGCGCCGGCUAACUCCGUGCCAGCAGCCGCGGUAAGACGGAGGGCGCAAGCGUUGUUCGGAAUUACUGGGCGUAAAGGGCGGGCAGGCGGUCUGUUAAGUCUUCUGUGAAACUCCGGGGCUCAACCCCGGACAUGCAGGAGA
rnacentral:rRNA from 1 species